rnacentral:lncRNA from 1 species
CUAUAAAGAGACUCAAAAAAUCUCCCAUCAUUAGGACCAAGUGCAAAUAGACUUGCAAAAGUCAGACCUGCUAUUGUGAUUGACAUGAGGGCACACACAUUACUGAUGGUCAUGAAUUGCUCUGUCUUUAUUAACAGAGCCCCUGAAAACUACAAGAGCAACUGGGAGGUUCUGAUCAGCAAACACAGCUAUUCCUAAGCUCGCAGUCAGCACACUGCCCCCUCUCUCUGGAGGAAUUGCCAUCUUUCCCUCACAUAUGAAGCCAGCCUGACUGGCUGGAUCAAUUUGAACCAUCAAUGGGGUGGCCAAUGCUAUAUGCAGAUUACUCUGAAAUUCACUCUCUGGGAUACUAUUUGGCACAUUAGUCCAGUUGAGAUUGACUAAUUAGUGCCUUAGUAUAGUAAAAAUUGGAUGCCCUUUUCUACUCAGCAAUCUUGGCCCUCUCCAAUGCCCCUUUAAAAAUAUGAAAUGCAUUAUACAAAGUACCUCUGCCUCAAAGGAGCUGGAUCCAUUCUUAACCCUUGGUAUCUUUCAAGGAUGUGAGAAUGAAGAUUCAGUAUGUCCCGAGCAUAACAGUUUGCA